GAUGAACGCUGGCGGCGUGCUUAACACAUGCAAGUCGAACGAAACACCUUAUUUGAUUUUCUUCGGAACUGAAGAUUUGGUGAUUGAGUGGCGGACGGGUGCGUAACGCGUGGUUAACCUGCCCUGUACAGGGUGAUAACAGUCACAAAUUACUGCUAAUACCGCAUAAGACCCCAUCACCGCAUGGUGCAGGGGUAAAUACUCUGGUGGUACAGGAUGGACCCGCGUCUGAUUAGCUGGUUGGAGAGGUAACGGCUCACCAAGGCGACGAUCAGUAGCCGGGUGGAGAGAGGGAACGGCCACAUUGGGACUGAGACACGGCCCAAACACCUACGGGAGGGAGGAGUGGGGAAUAUUGCACGAUGAGGGAAAACCUGAUGCAGCGACGCCGCGUGAGAGAAGAAGUAGUUCGGUAUGUAAAGCUCUAUCAGAAGGGAAGAAAAUGACGGUACCGGACUAAGAAGCCCCGGCUAACUAAGUG
rnacentral:rRNA from 1 species